rnacentral:lncRNA from 1 species
AUGAGAUUGUGGAGAACCACCCUUGAAGCCAAUGGGAAGCCACUUGCCCAAGUAUCCAUCAAAUGUGGCAUAUACCAAGGAGAUGCACUGUCCCCACUGCUGUUCUGCAUAGGUCUGAACCCCCUCAGCCAAAUAAUAAACAACACUGGCUAUGGAUACCGACUCCGGAACGGGGCCACCAUAAGUCACCUCCUCUACAUGGAUGACAUCAAGCUGUACGCUAAGAAUGAGCGAGACAUCGACUCGCUGAUCCACACCACAAGGAUCUACAGCUCAGACAUCGGGAUGUCAUUCGGGCUCGAGAAAUGUGGGAGGAUGGUGACAAAGAGAGGCAAGGUAAUCCACACAGAAGGGGUCUCACUCCCAGAAGGAACAAUGGCAGACAUUGAGGACAAUUACAAGUACCUUGGAAUACCACAGGCGAACGGCAACCUUGAACAGGCAACAAGGAAUGCGGCAACAGCCAAAUACCUCCAACGAGUAAGGCAAGUCCUAAGAAGCCAGCUCAAUGGCAAGAACAAAUCCCAGGCAAUAAACAGCUACGUCCUGCCAGUGAUCAGAUACCCUGCGGGAAUAAUAAGGUGGCCAAAGGAAGAGAUACAGACCAUAGAUGUUAAGACACGAAAGCUCCUCAUGCAUGGAGGGUUCCAUCCCAAAUCCAGCACCCUGAGACUGUACGCUAGCCGCAAGGAAGGAGGCCGAGGACUAGUGAGCGUGAGAGCCACUAUCCAGGAUGAAACAUCCAAGAUCCAUAAGUACAUCAAGGAUAAGGCCCCGACAGAUGACGUGCUGAGUAAAAGUCUCAGGCAGUGGAGAACAGAGGAUGAGAUGCUGGAAGAGGGACCAUCAUGGGAGGACAAGCCCUUACACGGGAUGUACCACCGGAACAUAACUGAAGUGGCUGAUCUCAACAAAUCCUACCAAUGGCUUGAAAGGGCCGGGCUGAAGGACAGCACAGAGGCACUCAUCCUGGCUGCACAGCAGAAGGCCCUGAGCACCAGAGCCAUAGAGGCCCAGAUCUACCACACCAGACAAGACCCAAGGUGUAGACUGUGCAAAGAGGCCAUGUGGUGGAAAUUUUCCAUAAAGAAGCAGAUGAGAGAGUUGUCCUUUUGUGCGUUUUAUUAUUGA